GGGCUCGCUUCCCCAGCACAUAUACCAAAAUUAGAACGAUACAGAGAAGAUAAGCAUAGCCCCUGCGCAAGGAUAACACGCAAAUUUAUGAAGGGUUCCAUAUUUUU